AGCGUGUGUAGGCGGCUUUUUAAGUCGGAUGUGAAAUCCCCGAGCUUAACUUGGGAAUUGCAUUCGAUACUGGGAAGCUAGAGUAUGGGGAGAGGAUGGGUAGAAUUCCAGGUGUAGCGGUGAAAUGCGUAGAGAUCUGGAGGAAUACCGAUGGCGAAGGCAGCCAUCUGGCCUAAUACUGACGCUGAGGUACGAAAGCAUGGGGAGCAAACAGGAUUAGAUACCCGAGU
rnacentral:rRNA from 1 species